AUACGGAGGGUGCAAGCGUUAUCCAGAUUUAUUGGGUUUAAAGGGUGCGUAGGCGGUUUGAUAAGUCAGCGGUGAAAUAUUUCAGCUUAACUGGAAGGGUGCCGUUGAUACUGUCGAGCUUGAAUUUAGUUGCUGUGGGUGGAAUGUGUGGUGUAGCGGUGAAAUGCAUAGAUAUCACACAGAAUAUCGAUUGCGAAGGCAGCUCACAAAGCUAAUAUUGACGCUGAUGCACGAAAGUGUGGGGAUCAAACAGGAUUAGAUACCCUGGUAGUCCACACUGUAAACGAUGAUAACUCGCUGUCGGCGAUACAUAGUCGGUGGCCAAGCGAAAGCGAUAAGUCAUCCACCUGGGGAGUACGACCGCAAGGUUGAAACUCAAAUGAAUUGGCGGGG
rnacentral:rRNA from 1 species